rnacentral:rRNA from 1 species
GACGAACGCUGGCGGCGUGCUUAACACAUGCAAGUCGAACGGGAACCUUUAUUUCGGUAAAGGUGAGAGUGGCAAACGGGUGAGUAACACGUAGGCAACCUGCCGACAGGAUGGGGACAACAUUCCGAAAGGAAUGCUAAUACCGAAUGAAGUCACCGGAGGGCAUCCUCUGGUGAUGAAAGAUGGCCUCUGAAUAUGCUAUCGCCUGUCGAUGGGCCUGCGUCUGAUUAGCCAGUUGGCGGGGUAACGGCCCACCAAAGCGACGAUCAGUAGCCGGUCUGAGAGGAUGAACGGCCACAUUGGGACUGAGACACGGCCCAGACUCCUACGGGAGGCAGCAGUGGGGAAUCUUCCACAAUGGGCGAAAGCCUGAUGGAGCAACGCCGCGUGAGUGAAGAAGGUCUUCGGAUCGCAAAGCUCUGUUGCACGGGACGAAAACCGAGCUUGAAAACAUUGAGUUUGGGGACG